rnacentral:lncRNA from 1 species
UCACAUUUCCUAAUGUCGGCAGAAGCCAAUCUACAUAGAUGAAGAUAAUUUCUUCUGUCUUUGAACCUCAUUUUCCUAGCUACACCAAAUCACAGAAAGUUGCAGAUAUUGAUUGAAACCAAUCCAAUUUAUAUUGUUGUAUAAAUAGCACCCAUAGUUUGAAAUUUAUAAUGAUUUGCCUUAAUAUGAAUCCAGCAUUUUAUUCACAAUACCAAUAUGUUUGAGGCGUGCUAAUCUAACAUAUUGAAUGAUCUUUCAAUAUCUGAUAAAUGGUUACAGCAAUUAUCAACCAAAUAGAGGAGGCUACAAUGAUCUAUAUAAAGCUUGAUAAGUUGCCAUGAUAAUGUUAUUAUGUACAACUUUCAGCUAUAUAAAAAGGAUUGAAAAGUCAUUAUACUUUUACAAAAUUUAUAAAUAAUACAUGAAUAGAAAAUCGCCUAACUAGAACAUGCUCAUGAAAAUAACAAUUGAGUUAUAUAUACAAUCUUGCAUUUCUGUUAGAACCAGAGACCAAAUGUGCUACAAAAGAAAUUAGUUUUUGUGUAGCUUUUGGCUUUGUCUAAUUUUUUUCUUCCUCUUUAUUACUCUAGCUUUGUCAUUUCAUGUUAAUAGUUUUGUUUGUUAUGUGGCCUUGUCAUUUCAUGUUAAUAGUUUUGUUUGUUAUGUCUUGUCAUUUCAUAUGUUCCUUUUUACAACAUAGUUUAUAACCAUCAAUCAUCCCUUUUUGUUGUUUGCAAGUGAUAUUUCUAGAUGUAAUAUGCCGCUGAAGUGUUGAAAAUAUCAUCAUCCUUCUUAGGUGUCAAGUUUCACAACUUGAAAAAUGCUUAGUGCAAUCCAUAAAUUGUUAACUUGAAAAAUGUAUAACAGAAUUGAAUUACAAUGUCAAUUGUUAAAGACAAGCAUCCAAUGUAUUGCAACAUAGAGGUUAAGAAGAGUAGAUUAAGCACCUAGCACACAGGCUAACCUACUCGUUCUGGAUGCUCCCCUACACCAGUCCUUACAGCUCCAAUAAUCUAAAAGCACAAAAUAGACAUAGAUGCCCUGAAAUUAUGAAACAUUCAAUCACAAUGUUAAAUGCAAAUGAUAUUAAUUGACAAUAAAAGUAAAAUUCAAUUCAAUCCAUUAAUUAAAAAAAGCACUUUAAAAUUCAGCAAACCUCAACAGAAAUCAACUGCACAUAGAUAAGAUCAACUCUAGUGGAAUGAAAAAGAAGAAACUUACUACUCUGGCACUGUGACGAGGAUGAUUGAAGCUUCCUCGAGAGUCAUAGCACAAAAACUGUUCUUGAGAAAGUAGAUACAAUUCAGAAUUGUAAUUUAGUAUUUCUAUCUAUUAAUUACAUAUAACAAAGUUCAAUGCAGUCCAUAUCAAAUAAGAUGAGAGUUGGAUUCAAACCAGAAAUUCUCACAAUAAUGCUCACACAAAUUAUAGAUCUAGAUUGGGAGAAAUGCAUCAUCCCCACAUGCAGUCACACACCCAAAAGUUGAUGAACAGAGUGUACUCAUUUGCUGAUUUGUUCAACCCAUAUGUUAAUAACAAUAAUGAGCUUGCCACAAUACAAGAGCAAUAUUAAUUAAAACAUAAUAAUAGAAUAAUAAAAAAAAUUAUUCCCUUCCUAAACAUAUAACACCAAAAUAAUAAAUAAAAAAUAGAGAAGAGAUUAAUCUUAUGAAUUCUGGAAGUAGAGAAGAAAACCCAACGGUUUCAGUUUUCCGGCAAGGAGUUGGAGAAUUUGGAUUUUAAAAUUUACCAGGAAUUGGAGAAUGGGGUGCUUCCAAGUUUGAAUUUUGUGAAUUCCACUAUGGUGUGUAGAGAAGAAGAGAGAAGAGAAAGAAGGUUCCAAAAUUCUUGGAAUUUUGAUUAUGUUUUUCCCGCAUGUUCUUUGAUCACAAAUACCAUUCACAAACCCAAAUGUAUGAGCACUGUGCAAGCUUAGUUUCCGAUUGUUACAGAACGUCGAAUGUGAAAAACGCUGAAGGGUUUUGGAAAAGUAAUUGUCACCAGAAAGAAUGAAAAUGUGAUGGAGUUGGAGAAGUUACAGUGGUGGAGAAGUUAAGGUUUUGAAGCUAUAUAUGGAAGGAGUCAG